rnacentral:lncRNA from 1 species
GUGUUGGGCAAUUCAACCACCAAAAUUAUUUAGGGACUAGGUGUAAGCCUAAUUUUCAGGGGACAAUGUCAAACUUGAUGCCCCUCCUAAAAGAUUGUCUAAUUUUGUUAAGGGCAAGGCUCCCAUGCCUCAGGAUAACGAGGGUUAUAUUUUAUACCUGCCGGUUAUCCGAGAGCAAGAUUAGGAGAAUUCACUCUAGGAAGUCUCACUCGGCCCUAAUCAUGCUUUUAUGUAUAAGGGUGAGACAUCUAGCUCUAGGCAAAAUCGCUGCUAAGUUGCCUAAGAAGAACACUCCUAAUGCAUCAAAUGACCAUAACAUUUCAUUUAAAACUUUUGAUGCAUCUUAUGUUUUGACUAACAAAUCCGGCAAGAUAGUUGCCAAGUUUGUUGGGGGAAAACACAAGGGUCAGACUUGUGUUUGGGUACCCAAAGUUCUUGUUGAAAGGGAAAUGUGCCUUUGGGCAUUUCUAAGUAUUUGGUGAUUGAGUGCAAACACAAGUGCUUAAAUGUGAAAAAUAUGCCCAAGGAUGAACAAAGUGCAAAUCACAAGUUAAGGUAUGUUUCUAAGCCUUAGUACAUUGGUUUGUGUACUAAUAUAUUUGUCUAAGUGUUAGAAACAGAUAGAAGAAGAGAAGAGAAGAACUUGGCUGUGUACAGCCAAGGGCUUGCUUCGGUCUGGGGCACCGGACUGUCCGUUGGUGCACCGGACAGUNNNNNNNNNNNNNNNNNNNNNNNNNNNNNNNNNNNNNNNNNNNNNNNNNNNNNNNNNNNNNNNNNNNNNNNNNNNNNNNNNNNNNNNNNNNNNNNNNNNNAUUCUAGGAGCCACUCGCUAUAAUUCACCGGACUGUCCGGUGUGCCAGCGAGUAACAGCUAAACAGUGCCAACAGUCGUCUGCAAAGGAACAGUGAACGCUAUAGUGCGCCCUGCGCUCGCAGAAGUCAGAGCAGGCGUCAGAAGGCGCACCGGACAGUGAACAGUGACUGUCCGGUGCACCACCGGACUGUCCGGUGGCCCACAUGUCAGAAGCUCCAACAGUCGAACCCUAACGUUGGUGACGUGGCUGACCACCAGACAGUGUCCGGUUGGUGCACCGGACUGGCCGGUGCGCCAUACGACAGCAGCCUUUCCCAACGACCAUUUUGGUGGUUGGGGCUAUUAAAUACCCCCCAACCACCUCACUUCAAUGCAUCCAAAUUUUCAGCCAUCAAACCUCAUACAAGAGCUUCUUAGACUUCAUUCCAAGACACAAACAAAGAGAUCAAAUCCUCUCCCAAGUCCGAAUCACUCCAAAACAAAUUAUGACUAGAGAAGAGAGACUUUUGUGUUCUUUUGAGCUCUUGCGCUUGGAUUGCUUUUCUUCUUCCUUCAUUUCUUGUUCCCAAGAUCAUUGCAAUCAAAGCAAGAGACACCAAUUGUGUGGUGUCCUUGUAGUGGACUAAGUGUCCCAUUUGAUUGAGAAGAGAAGCUCACUCGGUCUAGGUGAUCGUUUGAGAGAGAAAGGGUUGAAAGAGACCCGGUCUUUAUAACCACCUCAACGGGGAGUAGGUUUGCAAGAACCGAACCUCGGUAAAAACAAAUCACCGUGUCAUCCGCUCUUAUUCGCUUGUGAUUUAUUUUCGCCCUCUCCUUUGGACUCGACUUUAUUCUAACGCUAACCCCGGCUUGUAGUUGUGCUAAACUUUAUAAAUUUCAGAUUUCCUAUUCACCCCUUAGGCGACUUUCAAUUGGUAUCAAGCUCGGUACUUCAUUAAGAGCCUAACGCUUCGAAGUGAUGUCGGGAACUCACGCCAAGAAGGGGAUGGUGACCGGCGAGAAGCCCGCCACAAAGCCACGGGAAGGCUCCAUCGGGGAGUGAAAGGGAAUUAGGCUUACACCUAUUUCCUAAUUGAUUUUGUGGUUGAAUUGCCCAACACAAACAUUUGGACUAACUAGUUUGCUCUAGUUUAUAAGUUCUACAGGUUGCCAAAGGUUCACAAAAAGCCAAUGAAAAAGACCAAGAAAAGGGUUCAACAAAGAGAGCAGGGGAUAACCGAAGGCAACCUGGUUGGCGCACCGGACUGUCCGGUUGCCACACGGACAGUGUCCGGUGCACCAGGGGACUUGAAGCCUAACUAUCACCUUCGGGAAACUCAGAGGCGCUCCACUAUAAUUCACCGGACUGUCCGGUGUACACCGGACAUUGUCCGGUGCUCCAAGGAGAAGCGACUCUGAAACUCGCCAGCUUCGGGAAUCCGCUCCGCUAUAAUUCACCGGACAUGUCCGGUGUACACCGGACUGUCCGCGUGUGACACGGAGCAACACUACUUCGCGCGCCAACGGUCACCUGCAAGGCAUUAAAUGCGCGCCAGGCGCGCAGAAGUCAGGCACCGCGUUACGGCGCACCGGACAGUCUACAGUACUGUCCGGUGCACCACGGACACCAGGCGACCCACAGUCAGAGCUCCAACGGUCGAACCCUAACGACCGGUGACGUGCUGGCGCACCGGACAGUGUCCGGUGUACACCGGACUGUCCGGUGUGCCAUCGACAUCAGGCCUUCACCAACGGCUAGUUUGGUGGUUGGGGCUAUAAAUACCCCAACCACCCCUCAUUCAGUCAUCCAAGUUUUCACACUUCUACACCUUACAAGAGCUCUAGCAUUCAAUUCUAGACCACCCAAGUGAUCAAAUCCUCCCAAUUCCACACAAAGCUUAGUGACUAGUAGAGAGACUUGUUGUGUUCUUUUGAGCUCUUGCGCUUGGAUUGCUUCUUUUUCUCAUUUUUCUUGUGAUCAAAACUCAAUUGUAACCGAGGCAAGAGACACCAAUUGUGUGGUGGUCCUUGCGGGGAGUUUUGCUCCGUUGAUUUGAGAAGAGAAGCUCACUCGGUCCGAGGGACCGUUUGAGAGAGGAAAGGGUUGAAAUAGACCCGGCCUUUGUGUCUCCUCAACGGGGAGUAGGUUUGCGAGAACCGAACCUCGGUAAAACAAAUCCUUGGUCUCACUUCUUCACUCACUCUGCGAUUUGUUUUCACGCCCUCUCUCGGACUCGUUUCUAUUCUAACGCUAACCCGGCUUGUAGUUGUGAUUAGUUUUGUAAAUUUCAGAUUUCGCCCUAUUCACCCCCCCUCUAGGCGACUUUCAAUUGGUAUCAGAGCCCGUGCUUCAUUAGAGCCUAACCCUCGAAGUGAUGUCGGGAGAUCACGCCAAGAGGGAGAUGGAGACCGGCGACAAGCCCGCUACAAGCCACGGGAAAGCUCCAUCGGAGAGUCCCGCAACAAGGGGAAGGAAAAGGAAUCCCCUUCACACAAGUCACGCUCGGAGAGUGACAAGCACAAGAAGAUGAGGAAGGUGGUCUACUACGAGACCGACAUCUCAUCUCCAUCCACUUCCGGCUCCGACGCGCCGUCCGUCACUUCUAAGCGCCAUGAGCGCAAGAAGUUUAGUAAGAUCCCUUACGCAUCCUCGCAUCCUAAGCUACGCCUUACUUUCCGUCCCAUUAGGCAAACCACCAACGUUUGAUGGUGAAGAUUAUGCUAGUGGAAUGAUUUAAUGCGAUUCACCUAACCUCACUCCACAAAAGUAUAUGGAUGUUGUUGAGUUUGGUGUACAGGUACCAUCCGUAGGGAUAAGAUUAUGAUGAGGACGAAGUGGCCCAAAUCCAACACUUCAACUCCCAAGCCACAACUAUACUGCUCGCCUCUCUAAGUCGGGAGGAGUAUAACAAAGUGCAAGGGUUGAAAAGUGCUAAGGAGAUUGGGACACACUAAAGACCACACACGAAGGAGACGAGGUGACCAAAAUCACCAAGCGGGAAACGAUCGAGGGGGAGCUCGGUCGCUUCCGACUUCGCCAUGGGGAGGAGCCACAAGACAUGUACAACCGGCUCAAAACCUUGGUGAACCAAGUGCGCAACCUCGGGAGCAAGAAAUGGGAUGACCAUGAAAUGGUUAAGGUUAUUCUUAGAUCACUUGUUUCCCUUAACCCUACACAAGUACAAUAAUUCGUGGCAAUCCUAGAUACACACUAAUGACUCCCGAGGAAGUAAUCAGGAAUUUGUGAGCUUUGAAUUGAUGAUCAAAGGAUCAAAGAAAGAUCAACGAGCUUGACGGCCCCUCCACGUCCGAAGCACAACUGAUCGCAUUCAAGGCGAUGGAAGAAAAAGAAGGAGGAAUCUACUCCAAGUCGAACAACCAUCGACGCCUCCAAGCUCGAAACGAGGAGAUGGCGCUCAUCAUCAAGAGCUUCCGUCAAAUCCUCAAGCAAAGGAGGCGGAAGGAUUACAAGCCCCGCUCCAAGAAAGUUUGCUACAAAUGUGGUAAGCCCGGUCAUUUUAUUGCAAAAGUCCACUUUCUAGUGACAGUGACAGGGGCGACGACAAGAAGGAGAGAAGAAAGGAGAAGAAGAAGUACUACAAGAAGAAGGGCGGCGAUGCCCAUGUUUGCCGGGAGUGGACUCCGACGAGAGCUCCACCGACUCCUCCUCCGACGAGGACGCCGCCAACAUCGCCGUCACCAAGGGCCUCCUCUUCCCCAACGUCGGCCAUAAGUGCCUCAUGGCAAAGGACGGCAAAAAGAAGAAGGUAAAAUCAAGAUCCUCCACUAAAUAUGAAACCUCUAGUGAUAGGAUGAUGCUAGCAAUGAGGAGGAUAACUUACACAUUCUUUUUGCCAACCUAAACAUGCAACAAAAAGAAAAAUUAAAUGAAUGAUUAGUGCUAUUCAUGAGAAGGAUGAUCUCUUGGACACCCAAGAGGAUUUCCUUAAGAAAGAGAACAAAAAGCAUGUUAAGGUUAAAAAUGCUUACGCUCUAGAAGUAGAAAAAUGUGAAAAACUAUCUAAUGAGCUAAGCACUUGCCAUGAGACUAUUGACAACCUUAGAAAUGAGAAUGCUAAUUUGUUAGCUAAGGUUGAUUCAAAUGUUUGUGAUGUUUCAAUUGCCAAUCUUAGAAAUGAUAAUGAUGAUUUGCUUGCUAAGAUUGAAGAAUUAAACAUUUCUCUUACUAGCCUUAGAAAUGAGAAUGAAAAAUUGCUUGCUAAGGCUAAAGAACUAAAUGUUUGCAAUGUUACAAUUUCCGAUCUUAGAGAUAAAAUAAUAUAUUGCGUGCUAAGAUUGUUGAACUUAAUUCUUGCAAACCCUCUACAUCUACCACUGAGCAUGUCACUAUUUGCACUAGCUGUAGAGAUGUUGAUGUUAAUGCUAUACAUGAUCACAUGGCUUUAAUUAAACAAAAAAAUGAUCAUAUAGCAAAAUUAGAUGCUAAAAUUGCCGAGCAUGACUUAGAAAACGAAAAAUUUAAAUUUGCUAGAAGCAUGCUCUAUAGUGGGAGACGCCCUGGCAUUAAGGAUAGCAUUGGUUUCCAAAAGGGGAUGAAAGUCGCCUAGAGGGGGGUGAAUAGGGCGAAACUGAAAUUCUCAAAAAAUAAUCACAACUACAAGCCGGGUUAGCGUUAGAAAUGUAAUAGAGUCCGCGAGAGAGGGCGCAAAACAAAUCGCAAGCGAAUAAUGAAGUGAGACAAGCGGAUUUGUUUUACCGAGGUUCGGUUCUCUCAAACCUACUCCCCGUUGAGGAGGCCACAAAGGCCGGGUCUCUUUCAACCCUUCCCUCUCUCAAACGGUCCCUCGGACCGAGUGAGCUUUCUCUUCUCAAUCAACCGGGAGCAAAACCUCCCCGCAAGGACCACCACACAAUUGGUGUCUCUUGCCUUGGUUACAAGUGAGUAUUGAUCACAAGAAAGAAUGAAAGAGAGAAAGCAAUCCAAGCGCAAGAGCUCAAAUGAACACGGCAAAUCACUCUCACUAGUCACUUAGGCUUUGUAUGGAAUUGGAGAGGAUUUGAUCUCUUUGGGUGUGUCUAGAAUUGAAUGCCUAGCUCUUGUAGGUGGUUGAGAAGUGGAAAACUUGGAUACCAUGAAUGGUGGGGUGGUUGGGGUAUUUAUAGCUCCAACCACCAAACAUGACCGUUGGUGGAGGCCGUCUGUUCGAUGGCACACCGGACAGUCCGGUGCACACCGGACAGUCCGGUGCCCCAGCCACGUCACCAGUGCCGUUGGAAAUUGACCGUUGGAGUUCUGACUUCUGGGCCCGCCUUGAUGUCCGGUGGCGCACCGGACAUGUACUGUAGGAUGUCCGGUGCGACAGCAUGGGCGUGCCUGACCUCUGCGCGCGCUGGCGCGCAAUAAAUGCGCUGCAGGUAGCCGUUGGCGCCUGAAGUAGCCGUUGCUCCGCAGAUGCACCGGACAGUCCGGUGCACACCGGACAGUCCGGUGCACACCGGACAGUCCGGUGAAUUAUAGCGGAGCGGCUGGAGUGAAAACCCGAGGCUGGCGAGUUCCUGAGGACGACCUCCCUUGGAGCACCGGACACUGUCCGGUGAAUUUUAGCGGAGUGCCCUCUAGAAAUUCCCGAAGCCGAGCAGUUCGAAGUUGGAGUCCCCUGGUGCACCGGACAUGUCCGGUGGCACACCGGACAGUCCGGUGCGCCAGACCAGAGAAGCCUUCUGUUGCUCCUUUGCUCUUGUGUUGAACCCAACUUUUGGUCUUUUUAUUGGCUAAGUGUGAACCUUUUGCACCUGUAUAACUUAUACACUAGAGCAAACUAGUUAGUCCAAAGAUUUGUGUUGGGCAAUUCAACCACCAAAAUUAUUUAGGGACUAGGUGUAAGCCUAAUUCCCUUUCAAUCUCCCCCUUUUUGGUGAUUGAUGCCAACACAAAACAAAGCAAAUAUAGAAGUGCAUAAUUGAACUAGUUUGCAUAAUGUAAGUGCAAAGGUUGCUUGGAAUUGAGCCAAUAUGAAUACUUACAUGAUACGCAUGGAUUGUUUCUUUGUUUUUGACAUAUUGGACCACAUUUGCACCAUAUGUUUUGUUUUUGCAAAAAUCUUUUGUAAAUCUUUUCAAAGUUCUUUUGCAAAUAGUCAAAGGUAAAUGAAUAAGAGUUUGCAAGGCAUUUUCAAGUUUUGAAAUUUUCUCCCCCUGUUUCAAAUGUCUUUCCUUUGACUAAACAAAACUCCCCCUGAAUGAAAUCAUCCUCUUAGUUUUCAAGAGGGUUUUGAUGAUUAAAGUUGAAAAACUAUUUUCUCCCCCUUUUGAACUCAAUAAGAUACCAACUGAAAAAAA